CAUCGCUCUCCAGCUCCAUGCUAGACGUACAUUCAGUCAGUGUGGCGUUACAAUGAGCGGAAAUUGUCACUGUUCCUAAAAACAAUUGCUAGUCUCUGUAUGAGCUAAUGAUCACCUGGUGGUUCAGACAUUU
rnacentral:snoRNA from 1 species